GGUAUUUCGACAAGGGAAGGAAUGUGGAUUUCAAGGGAGGACUAAUAAGUUAGUUGAUGGUUGCUACUCUUUCUGGCAGGGAAGUGCAUUUUCAUUAUUACAAAGAAUACCUUCAGUUAGUGAGGAGCAAAUUGUGCUACCGGAUGUGGGACACUGCACUUUGGAUACCUCACACACUUCUACAACAUCUCGUAUAUCUGAAGUGGACAACAGUUCUGAAGGUACUUCAUCUCAGGUUGAUGACACCAGAGGUUUUAGCCAGGAAGGGUUGAAGGUUCCCUUUCCAGUGAAUUACAAUGAUAUUGGAUAUGAUUUUAUCAACAGAAGUGUAGAAAUGAAGCCGCUUUUCCAUGCCAUUGCAUUGCAGCGGUACAUACUUUUAUGCACACAGAUAGUUGUCUGUGAGAACAUAAAGGAAUUGCAAUAUGGAGGACUGGGGCAUUGACGGACAGGGAGAUAUGAAGUUCAUUUAUGGGACAAAGGGUCUUGGCAUCCAACAUAAGGGAAUAAGGGAAAGCAAGUUUAUCUGGGGGCUCAUGGUGAAGAAGAAUCCGUAGCAAGAGCAUAUGAUUUGGCAGCACUCAAGUACUGGGGAACAUCAACUUCUAAAAAAUUUCCGGUGUCUGAAUACUUAACAUUAAAAGAAUACUUGGCCUCUCUAAGAAGAAGAAGUAGUGACUUUUCAAAUUGUGUAUAUAAGGUAAGCUUCAUAAUUAAUCAAUGCUUUUGUUGGGUAUGUAUGAACUAUUCCCUGGCUCCAGUUAAACAAUACAAGCUUUCUCUAUUCCUGCAGAAUCUAAGUAUUUCCCUGUUCAUUGAGUUUAUAUGUCUGUUUACUAAUUAUCUGAUGGCUUUUUGUCAAACCAGUUACAUAUUAAACUCAUUUUUGUUUUUUUGGAUUCCAUUCAGCUGAUAUGUUGAUAUCUAUUAAUUUUCAUCGAGUUAAAUUUCAAUGAAACUAACUAAUCCUUUUGUUGGGUCUGUAUGUUCUGUUCCCUAGCUUGAGUUCAACAAUGCAGGCUCUCUAUAUUCCUACUUAAUCUUAGUGCUGCCCCGUUCUUACCCAUCAUUUUU